UUGCGCUAGGCAGGGAGCCGGCGGUGCCCUCGACCCGAAAUCCGCUUUAUGCGGGGCUGAUUUCCCUUUCGGGGAUUUUUCCGAACUAAGCCAAGUUGAUUGAGCGGUCGCCGUGCAACAGAUAGUCAUGAACCUCGUCAGGUCCGGAAGGAAGCAGCGAUAAGUGAUGAUGCUGUGUCACGGAUUGAUCCCGCUUGUUUGACAAAGCUAUGUUUCGGAUCAUAGUCCGAGAGAGGGGGCGCAA
rnacentral:SRP_RNA from 2 species